rnacentral:rRNA from 1 species
GAUGAACGCUAGCGGCAGGCCUAACACAUGCAAGUCGAGGGGCAGCGGGUGUAGCAAUACAUGCCGGCGACCGGCGCACGGGUGAGUAACGCGUAUGCAACCUACCUUAAACUGGGGGAUAGCCCCGAGAAAUCGGGAUUAAUACCCCAUAAGAUUGUAGAAGGACAUCCUUCAGCAAUUAAAACUCCGGUGGUUUAAGAUGGGCAUGCGUGCCAUUAGCUAGUUGGCGGGGUAAUAGCCCACCAAGGCUACGAUGGCUAGGGGGUCUGAGAGGAUGAUCCCCCACGCUGGUACUGAGACACGGACCAGACUCCUACGGGAGGCAGCAGUGAGGAAUAUUGGGCAAUAGGGGCAACCCUGACCCAGCCAUGCCGCGUGAAGGAUGAAUGCCCUAUGGGUUGUAAACUUCUUUUGUACGGGACGAAUCCCCUUUACGUGUAGAGGGUUGACGGUACUGUACGAAUAAGCAUCGGCUAACUCCGUGCCAGCAGCCGCCGUAACAC